GUAGGGUGAACCUGCGGAGGGAUCAUUACCGAGUUUACAACUCCCAAACCCCUGUGAACAUACCACUUGUUGCCUCGGCGGAUCAGCCCGCUCCCGGUAAAACGGGACGGCCCGCCAGAGGACCCCUAAACUCUGUUUCUAUAUGUAACUUCUGAGUAAAACCAUAAAUAAAUCAAAACUUUCAACAACGGAUCUCUUGGUUCUGGCAUCGAUGAAGAACGCAGCAAAAUGCGAUAAGUAAUGUGAAUUGCAGAAUUCAGUGAAUCAUCGAAUCUUUGAACGCACAUUGCGCCCGCCAGUAUUCUGGCGGGCAUGCCUGUUCGAGCGUCAUUUCAACCCUCAAGCACAGCUUGGUGUUGGGACUCGCGUUAAUUCGCGUUCCCCAAAUUGAUUGGCGGUCACGUCGAGCUUCCAUAGCGUAGUAGUAAAACCCUCGUUACUGGUAAUCGUCGCGGCCACGCCGUUAAACCCCAACUUGUUGACCUUGGAUAGUAG
rnacentral:rRNA from 1 species